rnacentral:snRNA from 1 species
AUACUCUGGUGUUUCUUCAGAUCCUAGAAGUGUUUUGCCCUUUACUAAAGGUCUUUGUGAAGAGGAACUUAUCUGAGUGUUUACCCAAUUUUUUUUGAGGCAAAAACCAA